AGUGCACAGAAAGAAAGGAAACCCUAGAGUAAGAGGCUGCAGAAGAUCUCAGUAGAAGGAUUCCACUUGCGUAGUUCGUCAUUGUUAUCUUCAUGGGAGUAAUGUUUAACCACAUGGGACAGAUGUUCAUGAUCUAUAUUCAUGGGACACAUGUACUUCUUUAUUCCCAUUUAUGGUUCAUGUCAUGGUUGUCCCAUUGAUUAUUAUAGAUAUGGUAAAUCUAUAUGGUUAUGUAUUUUAAGAUGGGAUACUUUAUUGUUCUUGGUUUAGGGACUACAUCUAUGAUUAAUCUUUUAUGAUUGGUUGAUGAUUCUUGUAUUCUAAACACUAUAGGGUUAUUCAUAUGUUUAAUAUGGUAAAGAAUCCCCAACAGUACCUGUUGACCAAAUCACAUAAGGUCACUGUGAUGGUAACAAUCUAAAGUUAAAUCAUAAUGGCCCAAGUCCCUGAGCUCAGUUUUGUUUGAAUUUUUAUGAAUAUUUGUUUGCAAUUCAUCAGCUUUCUCUGUUUGGUUUUGGUUAGAGUGAUGGUGGCGAUGGAGUUCUCAGUUUACUUCCUCUUAUGGCAAUGAUUAUCACUUUGGGAACGUGUGGAUUUUGGACAAAUUGUUUUCACUAUGGCUGAAGCUAAUGAGUACAUGGCUUGUUUAUGGUUUCCUCAGCACAUGCCCACCUGGACAAAUUUCUUUCACUGUGGAUGAAUCUGGUGAGGAUAAGGGCAGAGUCGCGGAGAGAGAAAGAUAAAGACUAAAGAGUAACUCUCUAUCUCUCUGGGUUUUCUCUCCGGAGCCUCUAUAAUUUAUGUAGUAGAACAUUAGGAUCAAGGCAGAGAGAUAAAGGAUAGACAAAAAGUCAGUACAUGAAGCGACAUAGACGACAUUUGACUAGGGAAGAUAGAACAGAAGAAGCCAAAUGUCGAACAUUUCGCCAAUAUCAACCUCAGCAAUUUAGCGACUAUGAUUCCGAACCCCAAAUUGACUAACUCCAAGUUUCACUCACUUUCCUCUCAUUUCUUUCUUUAUUAUGUUAUUCUCUAGUCUCUACCCUUUGUUUCCCUCAUUAUUUUCUUCAAUGAUGGCAACAGAUAGAGGAAGAAGGGCACCGUAAUUCCGUAAUUUCUUGGGUUUGGUGUGGAGAAGAUAUCGGCAGGAUUAAAAUAAAAGAAGUUUAACUGAACAUUAUGUGAUAUUAAAAUGUCGAACAUUAGAUGCACAAUUCUAUCCAGUCCGACUUUAUUUUCAAGGAGGAAUCUUCAACCUUCAGAUAGAUUGCAGUGGUGAUUAUCUGAAUGUCUUGGCUUUAAUAGACAGGUAUCCUUUAUGCUACUACUCAUUGCUUGCACUUCCUGCCUUUUGUAAAAUCAAAUCUUUUUAUUUCACUAUGCUAUUUGUUACUUAAUUAAUGGGAUACCUUUGGAUUGAUGUUCUGUGAUAUAUAUACUGGUGUUUGGAAGAAGCAGAGGAAAUUAUCCCUGCCCUUGUUCCAUGAAUCUCUCGGAUACAAGUCAGAUCCCAUGGAAGUCAUUGCUGCCCGUUAUCCUAGGUUUCCUUCACAAGAGGAGCCAAAUCAGCCUUCAGACCCCUUUACUGCCCACUACAGAGUGGUGUUCUAAAUAUAUACAUAGUUGGGAUUUUGCUCGUGAUUGCAGACUUCCUUACCAAGUUAUAAACCUCGAGUUUGAUCUCAGACACAUCUGUUGUGAUUAGCGGUGAGACCGGUUCAUUAUUAUCUUCUCUCCAUUGAUGAAUUUCCUAGAUCUUAUUGUUUCUGAGAGGAGUUGAGAAAUUGUAACAGAACCUCUUCUUUAGACUGCACCACUGUAUGGUUCUUGUAUUUCAGUUGAAUCAAUUCAUAUUUUUAAACA